GUUACAGUUACGCCUCUAGUUUUGUGUCACUGCACGUUCUUUUGGCGCUUGCAUUUGAGCAUAGAAGGCUGCGUUAUCUGCUUGAGUGUAAACGAAAGCUGUGCCUGAAUCCACUGUUAUCACGGAGCUAAAACCAGUGAAUUCCGUUAAAAUGGUCAGGUUUUGGUAAAGAGUUGGAAACAUCGUGCAGAGAUCCUUUCCACGGAGUGAUACAGAUCCACACGUUCCAGACGUUCUCCCAGAGAUUCAUAGAUUCCCAGUCCGGGUGGCUGGGUGGCGAGCCAACCGUGUUUGUGACUCUGACUUUAGACGAACUGCCUGGAUCAUCCUCUUCAUCUUCGUUGUGGUAGGACAAAAACUAACUCAGAGUUAAAAAAAAGGGCCCCAACGGUGAAACUGAACUUUUGUCAACCAAGGCAAAACGAACCGAGGACGAACUGAGCUCAACGAUUCUGAUACGAGAGGGUUUUGUUUUGUUUUUGUGCGCACUUUAUUAUUUUAGUUUGUUAUUUUUCAUAAAUGUGUUUUUGCUUGUAUGUAUGUUUCACCCUGUGAAUUUAAUACAGGUUUGUCUAAACUGUCA